ensembl:snRNA U6 U6 spliceosomal RNA
GUGCUCACUUUGGCAGCACAUAUACUAAAAUUGGAAUGAUAGAGAUUAGCAUGGCCCCUGCACAAGGAUGACACAACUUUGUGAAGUAUUACAUAAUUUU